AUGCUCGCUUCAGCAGUACAUAUACUAAACUGCAAAGAUACAGAGAAGGUUAGCAUGGCCCCUGCACAAGGAUGACAUGCAAAUUCAUGAAGCAUUCCAUAUUUUU